rnacentral:rRNA from 1 species
AGCUCCAAUAGCGUAUAUUAAAGUUGUUGCGGUUAAAAAGCUCGUAGUUGGAUUUCUGUUGAGGUCGGGCGGUGUACACCUCGUGUAUUAUUUGCUUCGGUCUCGGCAUCCUCUUGGGGAACGUACGGACCUUCAUUGGACUGUGCGAGAUUCAAGACUUUUACUUUGAGGAAAUUAGAGUGUUCACGGCAGGCAAGUGCUUUGAAUACAUUAGCAUGGAAUAAUAAUAUAGGACCGCGGUUCUAUUUUGUUGGUUCUGAGAACUGUGGUAAUGAUUAAUAGGGAUAAUUGGGGGCAUUCGUAUUAUCACGUCAGAGGUGGAAUUCUUGGAUUGUGUUACGACGAACUACUGCGAAAGCAUUUGCCAAGGAUGUUUUCA